AGUGAACGCUGGCGGUAGGCCUAACACAUGCAAGUCGAACGGCAGCACAGUAAGAGCUUGCUCUUACGGGUGGCGAGUGGCGGACGGGUGAGGAAUACAUCGGAAUCUACUUUUUCGUGGGGGAUAACGUAGGGAAACUUACGCUAAUACCGCAUACGACCUACGGGUGAAAGCAGGGGAUCUUCGGACCUUGCGCGAUUGAAUGAGCCGAUGUCGGAUUAGCUAGUUGGCGGGGUAAAGGCCCACCAAGGCGACGAUCCGUAGCUGGUCUGAGAGGAUGAUCAGCCACACUGGAACUGAGACACGGUCCAGACUCCUACGGGAGGCAGCAGUGGGGAAUAUUGGACAAUGGGCGCUAGCCUGAUCCAGCCAUACCGCGUGGGUGAAGAAGGCCUUCGGGUUGUAAAGCCCUUUUGUUGGGAAAGAAAAGCAGCAGGUUAAUACCCCGCUGUUCCGACGGUACCCAAAGAAUAAGCACCGGCUAACUUCGUG
rnacentral:rRNA from 1 species